UCAUACUGGCCCGCUGACCGUUUCACACGGAAAGUGAGUGCUGGAAUGUUUAUACCCAUAAUUUGUAAGAAUACACUUAGCUAUCCUUUACUGGAUCGGUUAGGUGAAUCCUAUUCUUACUCAUUUACUUUGAAAAAAUUAGAGUGUUUAAAGCAGGCUAUCGCCAUUUGAAUACAUUAGCAUGGAAUAAUAAAAUAGGACUUUGGUUUUAUUUUAUUGGUUUUAGGAACCUAAGUAAUGAUUGAUAGGGAUAGUUGGGGGUGCUAGUAUUCAGUGGCCAGAGGUGAAAUUCUUGGAUUCACUGAAGACUAACUACUGCGAAAGCAUU
rnacentral:rRNA from 1 species